GGGAUGUAGCUUAGUGGUAGAGUGCUUGCCCAGUAAACAGGAGGCUCUGGGUUCAAUCCCCAGCAUCACCA